rnacentral:rRNA from 1 species
GGGAUCCUGCCAGUAGUCAUAUGGUUGCUUCAAAGAUUAAGCCAUGCAAGUGUCAGUUCCAUUGGGAAUAGAGAAACUGCGAAUAGCUCAUUAAAAUCGUUGUAAUCAAUUUGGCAGAUUUUAGAUGGAUAACCAUGGUAAUUCUGUGGCUAAUACAUGACUUUUCUAACGGAAGGCGUAUAUCAGCUUUGAAACAGACGGUUUGCCGUUCUGAUGAUCAUGAUAAGCAGUCGAUCGUCACACGACAUGCCAAAUGAGCUUCGAACCUAUCAGCUCGUCGGUAGAAUAAAGGUCUACUGAGGCUUUGACGGGUAACGGGGAAUUAGGGUUCGAUUCCGGAGAGGGAGCCUGAGAGAUAGCUACCACGUCUAAGGAUGGCAGCAGGCGCGCAAAUUACCCAAUCUCGACAAGAGGAGGUAGUGACUUGACAUAGCAGCGUCAAAAUUAUUUUUGACGAUUGCAAUGGACGGAUCACAAAGAAAUCCGUGAGUAACAAUUGGAGGGCAAGUCUGGUGCCAGCAGCCGCGGUAAUUCCAGCUCCAAUAGCAUAUAUUAAAGUUGCUGCAGUUGAAGCGCUCGUAGUUGAAUACCAAGCCCCAGUAUAAGAUCAUGUGACCUUAUGAUGGGGCUGGAACAAGUGUUUAGGCAUUUGUUUCAGUUACUUUGAGAAAAAGGAAACGUUCCGAUUGGGCGUAAGCUUGAUCUUUAAAGCAUGGGAUAACAAGGCAUGAUUUCGUCUGUUGGUUUCAAAGACGAAAAUAAUAAUUAAUAAGGGCGUACGGGGGUAUUUGUAUUUAUUGGAGAGAGGUGAAAUUCUGAGACCCAGUAAAGACAAACAAAUGCGGAGGCAUUUAUCUAGUCCGUUCCUGUUGAUCAAGGACGAAAGUUGGGGUAUCGAAGACGAUUAGAUACCGUCGUAGUCCCAACCGUAAACUAUGCCGACCGAAAUUUGGCAGAAAGAAAUUCUGUCAGAAUUCCUGGAGAAAUCUGAGUUUUCGGGCCCUGGGGGGAGUAUGGUCGCAAGGCUGAAACCUGAAGGAAUUGACGGAAGGGCACCACCAGGAGUGGAGCCUGCGGCUUAAUUUGAGUCAACACGGGGAAUUUUACCAGGCCCGGACAUAGUUAUGAUUGACAGGUGAAGAGAUCUUUCUUGAUUCUAUGGGUGGUGGUGCAUGGCCGUUCUUAGUCGGUGAGGUGACUUGUCUGGUUAAUUCCGAUAACGGACGAGACCUCGGCUGUCUCCUUUCAAUUUUCAUCGUAUCUGAAAAAUUGUAUGGAGACGGACUCUGAGGGUUAUACCUCUGGUAAGAUCGAGGCUAUAACAGGUCUGUGAUGCCCUUAGAUGGCCUGGGCUGCACGUGUGCUACAAUGAUUUUAACAACAUGUCUCGUGGUUCGAGAGAGCUGUGAAACCACUAAAUAUGAUCGUGUUUGGGAUUGAGUUUUGUAAUUAUGACUCAUGAACGAGGAAUUCCUAGUAAGUACAGAUCAUAAUUCUGUGCUGAUUGCGUCCCUGCCCUUUGUACACACCGCCCGUCGCUUCAACCGAUUGGAUGAUCCGGUGAAUUAUGUGGACGAUUUGCAGUGGUAACAAUACUACGUCGAAUCGGAAGCACAAUAAGCCUUGUCAUCUAGAGGAUGAAGAAGUCGUAACACGGUAUCCGUAGGUGAACCUGCAGAAG